rnacentral:tRNA from 1 species
GCACCCGUAGCUUAAUCGGAUAGAGCAUCAGCUUGCGGAGCUGGCGGUUGGGCGUUCGAGUCGCCCCGGGUGCA